rnacentral:rRNA from 1 species
GGGGGGGGGGGGGGGCGGGGGGGGCGCGUGGGGGGCGGGGGGGGAGGGGCGGGGUGUGGGGGGUGGUCGGGGGGCGAACGGGGGGGUAACACGUGGGUAACCUGCCCUUGACUUUGGGAUAACUUCAGGGAACUGGGGCUAAUACCGGAUAGGAGCUCCUGCUGCAUGGUGGGGGUUGGAAAGUUUCGGCGGGUGGGGCUGGACUCGCGGCUUAUCAGCUUGUUGGUGGGGUAGUGGCUUACCAAGGCUUUGACGGGUAGCCGGCCUGAGAGGGUGACCGGCCACUUGGGACUGAGAUACGGCCCAGACUCCUACGGGAGGCAGCAGUGGGGAAUAUUGCACAAUGGGCGGAAGCCUGAUGCAGCAACGCCGCGUGCGGGAUGACGGCCUUCGGGUUGUAAACCGCUUUCGCCUGUGACGAAGCGUGAGUGACGGUAAUGGGUAAAGAAGCACCGGCUAACUACGUG